rnacentral:rRNA from 1 species
AUGCAUGCUGGCGGCGUGCCUCACCCAUGCCAGUCGAGCGGCAGCGAGGGGUGCUUGCACCCUGUCGGCGAGCGGCGAACGGCUGAGUAACGCGUAGGAAUUUGCCCCAAAGUGAGGAAUAACUGCCCGAAAGGGUAGCUAAUGCCGCAUAUGGUCUUCGGAUUAAAGGAUUUAUCCGCUUUGGGAGAAGCCUGCGUUGGAUUAGGUUGUUGGUAGGGUAAUGGCCUACCAAGCCGACGAUCCAUAGCUGGUCUGAGAGGAUGAUCAGCCAGACUGGAACUGAGACACGGUCCAGACUCCUACGGGAGGCAGCAGUGAGGAAUCUUCCACAAUGGGCGAAAGCCUGAUGGAGCAACGCCGCGUGAAGGAUGAAGGCCUUCGGGUUGUAAACUUCUUUUAUGAGUGAAGAAUAUGACGGUAACUCGUGAAUAAGCACCGGCUAACUACGUG